UUCGGAAAGUUGGUAGCACGUGGCGCGUCCUCGUUUCCCUGGCCUAGCCAUAAAUUAAGAGCUCUCUCAUCGCACUCCAUACACAUGUACUAGGUUUAGGGUUUCAUAUAGUCCUCUCUUUGGUUCAGUUCUCGAUCGCCGCAGACUAAGUUGAGGAACCACCUCCCUGAAGUUAAGAUAGUUAACAUCUUCCCCAGUGUGCCGUCAUAUUUCGGGAUCCGAGUCCGCUGCGCUUUCUAAACGGUGAGGAUCUAGGGUCUGCGAUCAGCAAUUCGUCAGAUUCCAUUUCAAACUGAUUAGUUUUGGAUGGUCGACUGAUCGAGAGAGUUUGAAGUGGGAUUUGGCGAAUAGAGGAUCGAGAUGAAUGGAGCUCCAGCGUUUUGAAACGCAGCAGAAGCGGGUUCUUGUUUUGACAGGGUAACCUGGUGGGGAUGCUCACUAUUUUAUCUUGAGGUGAGGUUUCAGGAAUCUUCCGGCAAUGCAAAUCUGUCUCAGAUCAGAUCUUCGAGAAGACGUACAAUUGUAUGCUGGAUGUAAUUUUUGCUCGUAAUUGAUAUAUCCACCGAGUUUUGAUCAUUUAUUAGUGAUGCUCUGUAGAGGCUUAAGGCUUUGCGCUCGUGUAAAUGAGAGAACAUAGAUUCUGUUGGCCUUAUUUAAUGAAAGCUGUCGGUCUCGCAACUUUGUUGGCCACCAAUCUACAGACCAUGGUUGGAGCCAUUAGGUUAUGUACAAUUUUUCCAAAAUUUUCAAUCGCAUGACUCCAUUAUUUUGUGUUUAGUAUACUAUUGUAGUAGCCAAAAGAUCAAGAAAAACAACAAUGUAUCAGUACAGUAGUAACCACACAGUAUAGGCCAGGGCCACAUGGGGGCACAAUAGUGUGUGGUAGUAGUGAUCGAUCUUUGUGCUUCAUUCUUUUGCAAUACAAAUUUCCUUAGCUCUAGAAAUUCAAAAAAAAAAAAAUCCAGACACAGAAUAGUUUGAGAAGAAA